rnacentral:rRNA from 1 species
AGUGGAAGCGUCUGGAAAGGCGCGCGAUACAGGGUGACAGCCCCGUACACAAAAAUGCACAUGCUGUGAGCUCGAUGAGUAGGGCGGGACACGUGGUAUCCUGUCUGAAUAUGGGGGGACCAUCCUCCAAGGCUAAAUACUCCUGACUGACCGAUAGUGAACCAGUACCGUGAGGGAAAGGCGAAAAGAACCCCGGCGAGGGGAGUGAAAAAGAACCUGAAACCGUGUACGUACAAGCAGUGGGAGCACGCUUAGGCGUGUGACUGCGUACCUUUUGUAUAAUGGGUCAGCGACUUAUAUUCUGUAGCAAGGUUAACCGAAUAGGGGAGCCGAAGGGAAACCGAGUCUUAACUGGGCGUUAAGUUGCAGGGUAUAGACCCGAAACCCGGUGAUCUAGCCAUGGGCAGGUUGAAGGUUGGGUAACACUAACUGGAGGACCGAACCGACUAAUGUUGAAAAAUUAGCGGAUGACUUGUGGCUGGGGGUGAAAGGCCAAUCAAACCGGGAGAUAGCUGGUUCUCCCCGAAAGCUAUUUAGGUAGCGCCUCGUGAAUUCAUCUCCGGGGGUAGAGCACUGUUUCGGCAAGGGGGUCAUCCCGACUUACCAACCCGAUGCAAACUGCGAAUACCGGAGAAUGUUAUCACGGGAGACACACGGCGGGUGCUAACGUCCGUCGUGAAGAGGGAAACAACCCAGACCGCCAGCUAAGGUCCCAAAGUCAUGGUUAAGUGGGAAACGAUGUGGGAAGGCCCAGACAGCCAGGAUGUUGGCUUAGAAGCAGCCAUCAUUUAAAGAAAGCGUAAUAGCUCACUGGUCGAGUCGGCCUGCGCGGAAGAUGUAACGGGGCUAAACCAUGCACCGAAGCUGCGGCAGCGACGCUUAUGCGUUGUUGGGUAGGGGAGCGUUCUGUAAGCCUGUGAAGGUGUGCUGUGAGGCAUGCUGGAGGUAUCAGAAGUGCGAAUGCUGACAUAAGUAACGAUAAAGCGGGUGAAAAGCCCGCUCGCCGGAAGACCAAGGGUUCCUGUCCAACGUUAAUCGGGGCAGGGUGAGUCGACCCCUAAGGCGAGGCCGAAAGGCGUAGUCGAUGGGAAACAGGUUAAUAUUCCUGUACUUGGUGUUACUGCGAAGGGGGGACGGAGAAGGCUAUGUUGACCGGGCGACGGUUGUCCCGGUUUAAGCGUGUAGGCUGGUUUUCCAGGCAAAUCCGGAAAAUCAAGGCUGAGGCGUGAUGACGAGGCACUACGGUGCUGAAGCAACAAAUGCCCUGCUUCCAGGAAAAGCCUCUAAGCAUCAGGUAACAUCAAAUCGUACCCCAAACCGACACAGGUGGUCAGGUAGAGAAUACCAAGGCGCUUGAGAGAACUCGGGUGAAGGAACUAGGCAAAAUGGUGCCGUAACUUCGGGAGAAGGCACGCU